rnacentral:misc_RNA from 1 species
AACGCACAUUGCGCCCCUUGGUAUUCCGAGGGGCAUGCCUGUUCGAGCGUCAUUACAACCCUCAAGCUCUGCUUGGUAUUGGGCGUCACCAGAGAUGGUGCGCCUUAAAGUCAGUGGCGGUGCCAUCUUGGCUCUAAGCGUAGUAAUUCUCUCGCUAUAGACGUCUCGUGGAUGCUUGCCAGCGAACCCCAAUUUUUUUAAGGUUGACCUCGGAUCAGGUAGGGAUACCCGCUGAACUUAA